GACGAACGCUGGCGGCGUGCCUAACACAUGCAAGUCGAGCGAAUGAAAUUCCUUCGGGAAUGGAUUUAGCGGCGGACGGGUGAGUAACACGUGGGCACCCGGCCUCAUAGAGGGGAAUAAACUUCCGAAAGGUAGAUUAAUACCGCAUAAGAUUGUAGUACCGCAUGGUACAGCAAUGAAAGGAGCAAUCCGCGAUGAGAUGGGCCCGCGGCGCAUUAGCUAGUUGGUGAGGUAACGGCUCACCAAGGCGACGAUGCGUAGCCGACCUGAGAGCGUGAUCGGCUACAUUGGGACUGAGACACGGCCCAGACUCCUACGGGAGGCAGCAGUGGGGAACAUUGCACAAUGGGGGAAACCCUGAUGCAGCAACGCCGCGUGAGUGAUGACGGCCUUCGGGUUGUAAAGCUCUGUCUUCAGGGACGAUAAUGACGGUACCUGAGGAGGAAGCCACGGCUAACUACGUGCCAGCCGCCGCCGUAAAAC
rnacentral:rRNA from 1 species